UACGUAGGGGGCUAGCGUUGUCCGGAUUUAUUGGGCGUAAAGGGUGUGUAGGUGGCGCCGUAAGUCGGGUGUGAAAUUUCGGAGCUUAACUCCGAAACUGCAUUCGAUACUGCGGUGCUUGAGGACUGGAGAGGAGACUGGAAUUCAUGGUGUAGCAGUGAAAUGCGUAGAGAUCAUGAGGAAGACCAGUGGCGAAGGCGGGUCUCUGGACAGUUCCUGACACUGAGACACGAAGGCCAGGGGAGCAAACGGG
rnacentral:rRNA from 1 species